GUGCUCACUUUGGCAGCGCAUAGACCAAAAUUAGAAUGAUACAUAGAAGAUUAACAUGACCCUGUGCAAGGAUGACACACAAAUUCAUGAAGUUUUCCAUAUUUUU